rnacentral:lncRNA from 1 species
AGCCAAGUCACUCUCCUCCACAACUAUUUAAAAGGAGCCGAGAGUAGUCACCUCCCCGCAACAACUAUUUAAAAAAGAAAGUCACUCUCCUCCCAAACUAAUUUUAAAAAAGCCAAGUCCUCUCCCUCCAAAACUAUUUAUAAAAAAAGCCAAGUCACCUCCGCCUUCAAGCUCUCCUCCACAACUAUUAAAAAGCCAAGUCAACUCUCCUCCACAACUAUUUAAAAAGCCAAGUCACUCUCCUCCGCGCACAACUAUUUAAAAAGCCAAGUCACUCGCCUCCACAACUUUUAAAAAAAAGCCCAAGCCACUCUCCUCCACAAAACGAUUUAAAAAAGAAGCCAGCCAAGUCACUCUCCUCCACAACUAUUUUAAAAAAGCCAAGUCACUCUCCUCCACAACUAUUUAAAAAAGCCAAGUCACUCUCCUCCACAACGAUUUUAAAAAAAAAACCAAGUCACAUCUCCAUCGCCUCCACAACUAUUGAAAAAAAGAAGAGGCCAGUCCACGCUCCUCCACAACUAUUUAAAAAGCCAAUCACUCCCUCCACAACUAUUUAAAAAAGCCAAGUCACUCUCCGCCACAACUAUUUAAAAAAAGCCAAGUCACUCUCCUCCACAACGAUUUUUAAAAAAGCCAAGUCACUCUCCUCACAAACUAUGUAAAAAAAGCCUAAGUCACUCAUCCUCUUCCUCCACACUAUGUAAAAAAGCCAAGUCACUCUCUCCUCCACACUACUAUUUAAAAAAGCCAAGAGUCACUCUCCUCCUCCACUAUAUUGAAAAAAAAAAAAAGCCAAGUCACGCUCCUCCACUAACUAUUUAAAAAGCCAAGUCAAUCUCCCCCUCUCCUCCAUCUACUAUUAAAAAAGCCAAGUCACCUCUCACUCCUCUCCUCCACUACUAUUUAAAAAAGCCAAGUCACUCGCCCUCACAACUAUUUAAAAAAGCCAAGUCACGGCUCCUCCACAACUAUUUUGUUUGUUGUAAAAAAGCCAAGUCACUCUCCUCC